CUGGCGGCUGCCUUACCAUGCAAGUCGAACGGCAGCACGGGGGCAACCCUGGUGGCGAGUGGCGAACGGGUGAGUAACAUAUCGGAACGUGCCCUGGAGUGGGGGAUAACUAGUCGAAAGACUAGCUAAUACCGCAUACGAUCUACGGAUGAAAGUGGGGGAUCGCAAGACCUCAUGCUCGUGGAGCGGCCGAUAUCUGAUUAGCUAGUUGGUGGGGUAAAGGCCUACCAAGGCAUCGAUCAGUAGCUGGUCUGAGAGGACGACCAGCCACACUGGGACUGAGACACGGCCCAGACUCCUACGGGAGGCAGCAGUGGGGAAUUUUGGACAAUGGGCGCAAGCCUGAUCCAGCAAUGCCGCGUGAGUGAAGAAGGCCUUCGGGUUGUAAAGCUCUUUUGUCAGGGAAGAAACGGUUCGGGCCAAUACCCUGGGCUAAUGACGGUACCUGAAGAAUAAGCACCGGCUAACUACGUGCCAGCAGCCGCGGUAAU
rnacentral:rRNA from 1 species